CUUUAUAAAUGGUUGGGUCGAUUCGGGCCAGCCGGGUAGACCUGAACCGUUGACAGCCCCUUCAAGAACAUGAACGAUGAUAGCGAUUGUGCUGCAGCAUGGUUGGUAUCACUUUUCCCUCUCCCUUCGGAUCUGUACUUCGAGCAACGUUCGAAUGGGUUCGGAUUGUCAACUGCCGUAUUAGAAUGACUACCGUAGGGCAUCGCCACUUUCUUGAGAUUGCGUCAUUGGAGCAGAUUCUAACGUUCGAAUUGGAGCCGUAAUCCUCCGAGGCCUUGCAUACAUUGGAGUCCAGAAUAAGCCACUCUAACCCUCUUCUUCUAUAUUCACUUGUAAACUAUUUUUCGUCCACCUGUUCCUAAUUAGAUAUUCUUGCCAGGUGAAGGGUGUGAGCGCAAACGAGACUCAGAAGCGAUACGGAUGCG